rnacentral:misc_RNA from 1 species
GAAAUGCGAUACGUAGUGUGAAUUGCAGAAUUCCGUGAACCAUCGAAUCUUUGAACGCACAUUGCGCUUGAGGCUUCGGCCAAGAGCAUGUCUGCCUCAGCGUCGGGUUAAUAUCGCCUUCUUUUACCUUAUGGUUAAAGUUGGGCGGAUCUGGCUGUUCCAGCUAUGCAGUAUGUUUGCCUUCACCGGUAAACGUACAUCACGCACCUGGAUCAGCUGAAGACCAGAGGCUAACCAAGGACCCGUCAAGGGCCGCAACUGGGUGGGCUGUCAAAAGCUAUAUUCUUAGUUGUUGGUCUGGGACUUUGUGUUCGGCCCUCAAACAGGAACCUAUUAACCUAUUUUCUCGACCUGAGCUCAGGCAAGAACACCCGCUGAACUUAA